rnacentral:misc_RNA from 1 species
GUCCGGCCCAUAGGUUGGGUCGUAACACUCUGUCCAUUUUCUGUUAAAAAUUUUAAAUUAAAUUUCACUAAUUGGAAAAUUUUAAAUAAGUGAAACAUUUAUCAAUUAAUUUACUUAUGAAUUAAAUAAAUUGAAAAUUUGUAAAUCUCCCUUUAUUUUCUCCAAUUGAAGCAUAAAUAGGAAUUAAAGUAAACCAAGCUUCACCUUGGAGAGAGAGUGUUAACCCUUGAGAUAUACUCUUGGACGUGUCUCGGGGGCAUUUACACACUGCUCCAACUGCGGAUAAGGUUUGGGUGUUACAUAGCCAUGCCCAAGUGAUAAUUUCUAUCUAAGAGUUUCUGAUUAGAUUUGAGCUUAUUACUAUCUACUAACGCCUUAACAAACAUUCAUAGGACAUUUUGAGUACUCGUGUAAAACUGGCUCGUUGACUCUGACGAAUUGGCACCAACAUAAAUCAGAAGAACGCUUGCACACUUUCCCAUCUUCACAGAGACAAUGUGUAGUUGUAAAAGCUUCCUUAUGUUUUCAGAACUAAUGUUUAACAAGAAAUUUUUCAUGCCUCCGAUUGUGGAUGAGAUGGUUUUCUGGAAGACAGAAGGCUAAAAUUUAUAGUUAAUUUAAUUUAAUAUUUUAAAUCAUUUUUAAUCAGGUUAAAUAACAUUUUAAUUAUAUUGUUGCAGCAUUUUCACUUCCUUCCAGUGUUUUUCAAUAGGUCGAUGUUGAAGCAUGUAAUACUAUUGCUUCAAACUCUAAAUUUUCUACAAGUUCCAAUGAUAUAGUUUGUGUAUUUUGUUUGAAUUCAGAUUCUGAAAUCUAGCUGUAAAAGUAGAUGUGAAAUGUUCAAACUUGUAAGACUAAUUUUCUAAGUAAGGUGCUUCAUCCCUCUCUUAGUUGAUUAGGUCAAAAACAUGUAAUAUUUAGCUAUAUAAAUAGCCAUAUACUGCAAAAAGUGUGUAAAAAAGAAAAGCAAGAAAUCAGUCUUAGUUUCAGCAGAAAUCUCUCUUAUUUUCUUCUUAGUUUUCUUCCUUGAAACCCAACAAAUGGUAUUACAGCUUCAAUGAUCUUAAGGGACCAAAUCAGAGUUUGCUCUUGUUGAAGAAACAUGGCUGAAAAUACUUCACUUCCAGCACUAUCAAUGUUCAAAGGGGAGAACUAAAACUUCUGGUCUGUCAAAAUGAAAGUUUUUCUCGCGGCAUAUGAUCUGUGGGAGACAAUUGAGAAGGGCUAUGAACCAUUACUUCAAGACAAUCCUACUAUUGCUAAGAUGAAGAAACAAAAGGAAGAUUAAAUAAACAAUUUCAAAGAACUCUCAUUUCUCCGUUCAAUAGUAGAUGAUUCAAUAUUUCCAAUGAUUAUGGAAGCAACAACAGCAAAAUCGGCCUGGGAUGCUCUUCAGGAGGAGUUUCAAGGUUUAGAAAAGGUAAGGACUAUUGUUAAAUUUUAGAAGGAAAUUUCAGUCAUUACUGAUGAAUGAAGAAGAGACUAUUAAAGAUUAUGUUUCAAAGUUUGUUAAAGUUGUUAAUGAAAUGAAAAUUUAUGGAGAGAAUUAGUAAGUACA